GUUAUCUGGCAAAGGAGAAGAGUAAGGACAAUGCCAGGGAAGAGAGCAAACACAAAGGCACGCGCGGGUGAGGAAGCACGGCCUGGGUAGAAGAUGCCAUGUACCUUGACAUGCUGGCAAAACAAAGAACUCAAAAGGUGGCCCAGGGCCAGCAAUGAUGUUGGUUUCUGCAGAAGCCCAGGGAAAAGGAAAGGUGCCUCACCUAAUGCAGUGACAAGAGGAUUAACUUGAAAAAUAGAAGAUAAAUGUAACUUAGAGAAGAAUGGACUUUGGAUAUGGAAUUGCCCCUAGCUGAACCUGGCUAGCAAUUCUUGGUGUUUCCGUUUGAAGAACAAAGCAGAUGAUCAGAUCAGACAUCGCUGGAACAAAGGUUAUGAUGACGUCCCAGAUGAACUCUAAGGUCUUUUCUGACCUGAACUUCUGUGAAUUUAUAUUUUCAAAUCCUCUAAAAAAAAACCAGAAAACUUCAAGUUUAAAGAGUUGUGUAAUAACUGUGAGGCACAAGUUAGGAUAAAGAAAACAUUAAGAACAACAGCCCCAACAAAUCAAUCUUGCUCACCUGUUCUUAAGAAAUUAGACACUUUCUAUUUAAAAGUAAUGAAAAAUACGUUUAAAAAGUGAAUCGCUUCAAACACAAAGAGGAACAAUACAAGAGAAACAAAUGAGCAAGAAAAACUUCAUUGGUACCUUCAGUAUGAAUGUCCUGCAGAGACAGAGCUUAGAGAUCUGACCAACAGCAGAACUGGUUCUUUCCCGAGGGGCUCAUUUUCAAAGCAAGGAAUGGCUCUGAACACACAUGUGAAUUAGGACAGGCACACAUCACGGGAAUGCUUCUGUCCAAAGUCUCGGACUCCUGUGCAUAUAGGAGGUUACUCUCCUGGUAGCCACAAGAGUUGACAUUCUUUUGCACACACAUGAGACAUUAAAGACAACAAUACAGAAGUGCCUACAAUUGCGCAGAGCUUGCGGCAAUCAUCACCCAGUGGUGGGCAUUUUAAAGUAAAUAUUUCUUGACAAAACCUCACGAUACAACCAAAAUUCAUUUUACUUAGGGGGAAAUGUUUCUAAACAUUCCCAGAAAUUUUCUGGGUAUAAAAAGAUACAUUUUGUGAAUUAUUGUUUUAGGAAUAAUUCUAAUGUAGUCCCAUAAGUUAAAAACAAAUUUUAGCAAAAAUGAAAAGUCUAUUUUAGGAAUUGCUUUUCAUCUGCAACAUAAUUAAUAGCUAUAAGAAAACAGCUUUGGGGAGAGGAUCUAGGAGAAACUUCAUUCCAUUCAAUGCCUAGGUUGUAUAAUAAAGGAACACACAACUGAGUGACCAGC
ensembl:lincRNA uncharacterized LOC101688637